GAGCGGAUGACGGGAGCUUGCUCCUUGAUUCAGCGGCGGACGGGUGAGUAAUGCCUAGGAAUUUGCCUGGUAGUGGGGGACAACGUCUCGAAAGGAACGCUAAUACCGCAUACGUCCUACGGGAGAAAGCAGGGGACCUUCGGGCCUUGCGCUAUCAGAUGAGCCUAGGUCGGAUUAGCUAGUUGGUGGGGUAAUGGCUCACCAAGGCGACGAUCCGUAACUGGUCUGAGAGGAUGAUCAGUCACACUGGAACUGAGACACGGUCCAGACUCCUACGGGAGGCAGCAGUGGGGAAUAUUGGACAAUGGGCGAAAGCCUGAUCCAGCCAUGCCGCGUGUGUGAAGAAGGUCUUCGGAUUGUAAAGCACUUUAAGUUGGGAGGAAGGGCAGUAAGUUAAUACCUUGCUGUUUUGACGUUACCGACAGAAUAAGCACCGGCUAACUCUGUG
rnacentral:rRNA from 1 species